rnacentral:rRNA from 1 species
CCUACGGGAGGCAGCAGUGAGGAAUAUUGGUCAAUGGGCGCGUGCCUGAACCAGCCAAGUAGCGUGAAGGAUGAGUGCCCUACGGGUUGUAAACUUCUUUUAUAAAGGAAUAAAGUGAGGCACGUGUGCCGUUUUGUAUGUACUUUAUGAAUAAGGAUCGGCUAACUCCGUGCCAGCAGCCGCGGUAAUACGGAGGAUCCGAGCGUUAUCCGGAUUUAUUGGGUUUAAAGGGAGCGUAGAUGGGAUGUUAAGUCAGUUGUGAAAGUUUGCGGCUCAACCGUAAAAUUGCAAUUGAUACUGGCAGGCUUGAGUACGGUUGAGGUAGGCGGAAUUCGUGGUGUAGCGGUGAAAUGCUUAGAUAUCACGAAGAACUCCGAUUGCGAAGGCAGCUUACUAAGCUGCCACUGACAUUGAUGCACGAAAGUGUGGGUAUCAAACAGGAUUAGAUACCCGGGUAGUC